rnacentral:rRNA from 1 species
UACGUAGGUGGCAAGCGUUGUCCGGAUUUAUUGGGUUUAAAGGGUGCGUAGGCGGCUUUGUAAGUCAGUGGUGAAAUAUGGCAGCUCAACUGUCAAGGUGCCAUUGAUACUGCAGAGCUUGAGUACAGAUGAGGUAGGCGGAAUUGACGGUGUAGCGGUGAAAUGCUUAGAUAUCGUCAAGAACACCUAUAGCGAAGGCAGCUUGCUAGGCUGUAACUGACGCUGAGGCACGAAAGUGUGGGGAGCAAACAGG